CACCUUGCUCAAAUCCGCCUCCACCUCGCACUGCAUCUCGCUCCCCCAUCCCCUCACCACCGCCAGGCCCGUGGAAGGCUUCACCAAGUCGGUGGUGGUGGCGGCGUUGCGGGUCGCCGUAGGCGGCGGCGUUGAGGCGGCGGCCGGGAGGAAGGCGCACCGCUGCGCGAUGGUCCGGGCGUCGUUGUUCUCGCCCCAGCCCGUGGCGGCCAAGGACACGCGGUUGGCAUAGGUGCAGGAGCUCUACGCGCCGCUCCUCCUCACCGCGCGCCGCCGCCACCGCUGCCGCUCCUCCUCCCUGCCGUGGCCGCCACCGCCGCCACCUCCUCCUCCAAAUCCCUGUCACCGCCACCUCCUCCGCCGCCGCCUCGGCCCGCCUUUGCCUGCUCCUCUAACUCCCAACUGCAUGCUCCUUGCGCCCCGAGGUCGAGCCCUGCUCCUUCAACUACGGCUCUCCACAUCCCGCUCCCUCUGUCCAGCAGCAACCUCCAGCCCGGGCUCUGCUUGAUUGGAUUCAAUUAGAUUCUAUUUUGUUCCCAAUUGUAUAAGAGAUAAAGAUCCUCUGCUCUAUCAAUUCUUAGUGUGUUAAUGUUAUUUGUGUAGCUGCAAAAGCAGCCGCAAUAGAUGCUGAACCUUGGGCCGGCAGCGACAAGCUUGUCUUCGAGGCACACCAAUCCAUGAGGCAUUGAGUUCUUUGGCACAUUUCUGAAUUGUUUAGGAUUGCUAUUUCUGAUGUAUCUAUCUUCUUUUUUUCUGUCUUUUGCAAUCACCUCAAAGUCCUAUUGUGCUUCUUAGGAUGUGUCAUUAGCAUGGAACAUAGGUCGUGCUGUCAUGCAGAAGGCUAAAUUGGAGAGCCUUUAGAAGAAGCUAUCAUAUUGUGCAUCUUGAAGCCCCUAAAUUGGAGAGCCUGUAGAAGCAGAUGCUGCACAGACCAGUGGCGUGCAACAUGGUGAUGUGUGGAGAUGCAAUCGGUAGCAGAAAGAUAAGCUGCUUACUCAGCUGAUUGUGUGAAACCAGGCACAAAAGAGUUUGAAAACAGAAGGUUGACAAUCACUUCAAUCGCUGACUGACUUCAUGGUGCAUGUAUUACCUAUUGAAAAAAACAAGACAGGUUUGCAAUUAAAAGCUAAGAUGGAUGCAAAACAUGGGCUCGUGCUUGAAACAUGGAUUUGCUUGAAGCUACUCUUUUUUUUUUGCAGAAUUGUGAGAUUUUGUUAGAUUAAUUAGUUAUACUGAUUUCAUGCUGAAUAGAAAGACUUUGAUGUUUUAUGCAUGUGAUGAGAUGUCUAUGGGCUAGUUUAUAUA